CGCAUUCCUGCCACCGAAUACCUUAGCAUGGGAUAAUGGAAUACGACCCUGUCCUUCUGUUUGGUUGGUUGUUAAAGACCAGGGUAAUGAUUAAUAAGGAUAGUUGGGGGCAUUAAUAUUUAAUUGUCAAAAGUGAAAUUCUUGGAUUUAUGAAAGAUUAACUUCUGCGAAUUAUCUGCCAAGGAUGUUUUCAUUAAUCAAGAACGAACCCUGGGAUCCAUACGAUUAAUACCGUCGUAGUCUUAACCCUUCCCAUGCCCACGACCCAUUGGGAGACCUUUACACGAACUU
rnacentral:rRNA from 1 species